UGCCAGGUAGGGAGGAUAAAUACGAGCGAUCAUAGCAGAGACUAGAGCUCAAAAUUCUAUAGGAUCUGUGAGGCAAUCUUUUCAUCGAGAAGAUCUUCCUCCUCCUCUAUUGGUAGAGUCCAGCUCUUCGCAUCCUGUAAUCAUUACGAAUGUAUAAAUUGCUACUCUAAUAUAGCAAAUAAAAGUGUGGAUAGAGGUGGU
rnacentral:lncRNA from 1 species